rnacentral:rRNA from 1 species
UACGAGGGGGGCAAAUGUUGUUCGGAAUCACUGGGCGUAAAGGGAGCGUAGGCGGGUUCUUAAGUAAGGUGUUUAAUCCCGGGGCCCAACCCCGGACCGGCACUUUAAACUGGGAAUCUUGAAUAGUGGAGAGGUCGGUGGAAUUGGGGGUGUAGCGGUGGAAUGCGUAGAGAUCCCCAAGAACACCGAUGGCGAAGGCAGCCCCCUGGGCCAAUACUGACGCUCAGGCACGAAAGCGUGGGGAGCAAACGAGG